rnacentral:rRNA from 1 species
GAAUAUUGGACAAUGGGGGGAACCCUGCUCCAGCCAUGCCUCGUGUGUGAAGAAGGCCUCUUGGUUGUAAAGCACUUUAAGCGAGGAGGAGGCUACUCUAGUUAAUACCUUGCGAUCGUGGACGUUACUCGCAGAAUCAGCACCGGCUAACGCUGUGCCAGCCGCCGCGGUAAUACAGAGGGUGCAAGCGUUAAUCGGAUUUACUGGGCGUAAAGCGCGCGUAGGUGGCCAAUUAAGUCAAAUGUGAAAUCCCCGAGCUUAACUUGGGAAUUGCAUUCGAUACUGGUUGGCUAGAGUAUGGGAGAGGAUGGUAGAAUUCCAGGUGUAGCGGUGAAAUGCGUAGAGAUCAGGAGGAAUACCGAUGGCGAAGGCAGCCAUCUGGCCUAAUACUGACACUGAGGUGCGAAAGCAUGGGGAGCAAACA